GAGGUGUGCUGGUGCCGGGCAGGAACGGUGCCUUGGGACAGCCUGGCCCCGGCCUCACAACGGGCCCCGGGCGCUCAGUCAUAUUCCGUGGCCGCUCCAACACCCCCUACCCCCACCAGCAGGCGCGGCUCUCUUUCGGGGCUGGACUGCAUUUUUUGGACAUGAGUCGGCGAGUGAGGGUGAAACUCAGGCCAAAGUCUCCAGAGCCGCUCGGAGAAAACGCUGCCUGGAACAGAAGAGCAGAGGAUCAGAGGCACCACCAGAGACUCUCAGAGUGGGUUAUUACCCUGGUGGGGGCGCCUGCUGCGGCGUAGGAGAUGGCGGGACUGGGGGCGCGGGUGUGAAGCCCCCAAGAAAUCUGUGUGAAUUUCCUGGGGAGGUAAGGUCUCCAGGCGCUCUCUCUGGGCCCGGGGAUUGGUCCGGGAAGGUCUCCUGGCGCCUACCCAGCCCCCACUGCCUGGACGCCUGCGCCUGCUCUGCCGCCCCACAGCGACCGCGAAGGCCAGCUUCUUCGAAAGGCCCAUUUUUCUCCGUGGCUGAGCGAAUGCUCCUAGAAUACCACGUUUAUAAUAAAUCAUGUAGGGUGGAAUUCCUGCUGGAUGUAUACACCUUUCUGCAUCAGAGCUCUUCAAACCCAGAAUGGUGAAUAGCUACCCCUGGGCUUACCCUUUUAUAAUUUUCAACAAACCUGCGUUUAGCCCCGGCUAGGUGCCAGCAAGUUGCUAGGGACUGAGGAGGCUCUGCAGAGGACCCGAGCUGAGGCCCUAAUCCUCAAGGCCAAUGGCAGGGGUCACCGCCCAGGCACCCCCAGAGAACGCGGUGUGAAGGAAAAGACACCAAACUCGGUGUUCAAAUGUGUGGGAUCUAUUCUAGUUCUGAUUCUGACACUUGCAAGUCAUGCAUCCUCCGAGCCUCGGCUUUCUCACCUAUAAAAUCUUCAACGUGACCUAUAAAAAUCCAUAAAAUCACCCCUGCUUCAUUGUUUCCCAGGGCUCAUAGAAACAUCAUACAAGGUGGAGAAGAGUACCCAAGAAGGACAAGCUUGGAAUGGGGCCCCCUCCCCAGGCUGGAGAUCAGACAUUGUUGGAGAAGGUAUCAUUGCAGCCCCCUACAUAGCAGAGAGAUUUGCUGAGUUGCAUAGUCUAGAGCUGGUUGCAAUUAUUGGACAAGCAGGAAACAAACCUCCACAGCCCAUGCGAGCCACACUGCUGGGUUGAGUGUAUGAGCAUGUAGAAUGAUUGGGUCUCCAGUGCGGACAGAAGGCAUGGAUCGCGUGGUGCCUGUGUUGGGAGGAUACUAAGAGGGCGAUCACCAUGCCAGGACAAGACUAGUUGCCUGGGAUCUUCUGGGCACGUGACUGGAGCAGAGUACCACUGGAUCUCCUCACACCAGCCAGACCCAGGAAGAGAAGCUCCUUUCACCUGCACUGUUCUCUCAGCACCCUCCACGGAGAAAGCUUCAUGUUAUGCUUAGUGUACAGGAGAAAUGCUCAUGGGAAUCCUGUCCAUUAUCACAGAGCAGGUAUUAGUGGGUGAAUAUGGAGCUGAGAAGUAAUAAGUUGUAACUGGCAUAGAUAUCAUGGGGAUAUUUGAAGAACGCUGUGAACACAUAUGCAUGGGUCCAUGUAUUCAUGAGUGUGCACAUAUGUGUAAUUAUUCAUACAAUUCAUGGUGGAUACUACUUCGAGGGUGUUCACAGACCCCAGGCAGAGAGCGCCUGGAGGGAAAAUUAUCCAAGGCAGGCCCAUUCAUAGUUCCAGGACAGCCAGAAGAAAGCCUCCGUUAAGCACCAGAAGUCUCCGGGGCAGGUGGGGCCAGGCAGCAUGAAAGAAUUGGCCGCAAGAGUUCCAAACCCUGUCCCAAUUAUGGAGGGUGACUUUUCUUUGUCCUCCUUCUCCAUUCCCUUCCAUAUUGCUCAUGCAUCCAAAGGGAGACCUGAAGACUCUCUAGCAGGGCAAGGCCAUUUUCUUUUGGCAUUUUUCUCUCCCCAGAGUCUAGCUGAUUAUCAGCUUAGACACACAGCAGGCUAUGUGCUGUGAACAACAGGCAUCCUGGGUUAUUUUACAAACUCAUGGAUAGUCAUUUUGAAACCACCUUUGCAAAAUUGUGACUGAAACAGUGAAAGAGAGCUAACUUAACCAGCUCCAUCUUGUUUCUAACCUCCAAGCUGUCUUUGUUCAUUCCUGGGCGUAGGCUGAACUAACUUUGGGAGAAACUUAGUUUGUAGUUAUAGUUUAAACAAAGACUGUGACAGCCCUUUCCCAAUGCAGACCUCCUUCUUGUCUGGGGACUAGACUAACAUUAGCCACAGGAUUAGAAAUUACGGUUUAGGAGUCACGCAGCUGGAGGCUACAAGAUUCUGACCCUCCCUAAACUGCUUCUAAGAUCAGUGCUUGAGACAUGUUGCAGACCCCGCACUUGCUGGAUCAGCUGACGCCACACAGAUGGAUAAACUGCCUCGUCUGAUCUUGUGGCCCCCACCCGGGAACUGACGAAGCGCAAGAAGACAGCUUCGACUCCCUGUGAGUUCAUCCCUGACCAACCAGCACUCCUGGCUCACUGGCUUCCCCCUACCAAGUUAUGCUUAAAAAUUCUGCUCCCCGAAUUCUCGAGGAGACUGAUUUGAGUGAUAAUAAAACUCCAGUCUCCCGCU
rnacentral:lncRNA from 1 species